GACGAACGCUGGCGGCGUGCCUAAUCGCAAGUAGAACGCUGAAGAGAGGAGCUUGCUCUUCUUGGAUGAGUUGCGAACGGGUGAGUAACGCGUAGGUAACCUGCCUGGUAGCGGGGGAUAACUAUUGGAAACGAUAGCUAAUACCGCAUGAUAUUAAUUGUCGCAUGAUAAUUAAUUGAAAGAUGCAAUUGCAUCACUACCAGAUGGACCUGCGUUGUAUUAGCUAGUUGGUGAGGUAACGGCUCACCAAGGCGACGAUACAUAGCCGACCUGAGAGGGUGAUCGGCCACACUGGGACUGAGACACGGCCCAGACUCCUACGGGAGGCAGCAGUAGGGAAUCUUCGGCAAUGGGGGGAACCCUGACCGAGCAACGCCGCGUGAGUGAAGAAGGUUUUCGGAUCGUAAAGCUCUGUUGUAAGAGAAGAACGGGUGUGAGAGUGGAAAGUUCACACUGAGACG
rnacentral:rRNA from 1 species